GGAGGGAUGGCCGAGUGGACGAAGGCGGCGGUCUUGAAAACCGCUGUGGGCUCUGUCCCACCGGGGGUUCGAAUCCCUCUCCCUCCG
rnacentral:tRNA from 1 species